AUUGAACGCUGGCGGCAGGCCUAACACAUGCAAGUCGAGCGGCAGCGGAAAGUAGCUUGCUACUUUGCCGGCGAGCGGCGGACGGGUGAGUAAUGUCUGGGAAACUGCCUGAUGGAGGGGGAUAACUACUGGAAACGGUAGCUAAUACAGCAUAACGUCGCAGGACCAAAGAGGGGGACCUUCGGGCCUCUUGCCAUCAGAUGUGCCCAGAUGGGAUUAGCUAGUAGGUGGGGUAACGGCUCACCUAGGCGACGAUCCCUAGCCGGUCUGAGAGGAUGACCAGCCACACUGGAACUGAGACACGGUCCAGACUCCUACGGGAGGCAGCAGUGGGGAAUAUUGCACAAUGGGCGCAAGCCUGAUGCAGCCAUGCCGCGUGUAUGAAGAAGGCCUUCGGGUUGUAAAGUACUUUCAGCGGGGAGGAAGGUGUUGAGGUUAAUAACCUCAGCAAUUGACGUUACCCGCAGAAGAAGCACCGGCUAACUCCGUGCCAGCAGCCGCAGUAACAC
rnacentral:rRNA from 1 species